UACGUAGGGGGCGAGCGUUGUCCGGAUUCAUUGGGCGUAAAGCGCGCGCAGGCGGUUGGGAGAGCCCGGCGUGAAAGCCCCCAGCUCAACUGGGGGAGGCCGUCGGGGACCUUCCGACUGGAGGCCGGUAGGGGCGAGCGGAAUUCCCGGUGUAGUGGUGGAAUGCGUAGAUAUCGGGAGGAACACCAGUGGCGAAGGCGGCUCGCUGGACCGGUCCUGACGCUGAGGUGCGAAAGCGUGGGGAGCAAACAGG
rnacentral:rRNA from 1 species